UUAGGCUCCAAAGGCUGCAACGCGAAACAUGGAAAAGAAGCAUGUUCUAUGUGCAGUGUCCUCCACUUGACGUUUUAAUUCCAACUCUAACCACCAAAGUGGAAACAAGAAGCAUCAGAUGAACAUCACAAGGGCAAUGAGUAAUGUGAGACAAACCAAAAUCAUCAUAUGAGAUCUCUGCUACUGUAUAUAAUUUUCCAAAAUUCUGUCUGCGACAUUGACGAGGAGGAGGCUCCGGCGAAAGGUCUAUCAGCGCUCUCAUGAAAUAUGCUGGAAAUUGGAGAAUUUUCUGGAAGGAAGAAAAGGGAACAGUUUCUGCAGUUAAACUCUUGCAUCCAUUUGUGCAAAACCUGGAUAAGUAUUUGGUGUCCAUAUUAGCAGCAGUCAUGCCUUCUAAGAAAUGCCGGAAACAAAUGGUGGUGGCCUGUGCACGUGGUUAUUUGCAGAAGCUCGUCGGGUGGGGUGGCGCAAGUUUAUGGGGACUCUUUCUCAGGCCUUAAGUUGAGCAACAACAGAAGAGGCUAUAAAAAAAUUGAUGUUAGCAAAUCUAACACAAAAGUGCUGAGUAUACAAUGAAGCUGAUGAGAGCAAUCCAGGAGAGUGUGGUUGUUAGGACUAACGGAGAGUGAAUAUCCAGAUUUCAGCAUUGAAGAGAAGUUAAAUUCUUUUGUUGCGUUGAUUGAUCUACUCAGAGUUGGUUCCAGUAUCAAAAUGGAGGGCUAAAGAUACAACCCAGAAUCAGAGUCGGCC